rnacentral:rRNA from 1 species
UACGUAGGGGGCAAGCGUUUGUCCGGAAUCAUUGGGCGUAAAGCGCGCGUAGGCGGCCCGGUAAGUCCGUUGUGAAAGUCAAAGGCUCAACCUUUGAACGCCGAUGGAUACUGCCGGGCUAGAGUCCGGAAGAGGCGAGUGGAAUUCCUGGUGUAGCGGUGGAAUGCGCAGAUAUCAGGAGGAACACCAAUAGCGAAGGCAGACUCGCUGGGACGGUAGCUGACGCUGAGGCGCGAAAGCGUGGGGAGCGAACAGG